AAACUCAAAUGAAUUGACGGGGACCCGCACAAGCAGCGGAGCGUGUGGUUUAAUUCGUUGCUACACGAAGAACCUUACCUGGGUUUGACAUAUAGGUUGUAGGGAACUGAAAAGGGACCGACCUUCGGGGAGCCUAUACAGGUGUUGCAUGGCUGUCGUCAGCUCGUGUCGUGAGAUGUUCGGUUAAGUCCGCUAACGAGCGCAACCCUCGUCGUAUGUUAUAUGUGUCAUACGAGACUGCCGGUAAAAGCCGGAGGAAGGUGAGGAUGAUGUCAAGUCAGCAUGACCUUUAUAUCCAGGGCUACACACACGCUACAAUGGUCUGUACAAUGGGUAGCCAAGCCGCGAGGCGGAGCCAAUCCUGAAAGCAGGCCUCAGUUCAGAUUGCAGUCUGCAACUCGACUGCAUGAAGCCGGAGUUGCUAGUAACCGCAGGUCAGCAAUACUGCGGUGAAUACGUUCCCGGGUCUU
rnacentral:rRNA from 1 species